UUUGGGCAGCGCAUGAGGAUCCUCGGAGUCACCUCCCACCCGUGUUGCCCGAACCUAUGUUGCCUCGGCGGGCCCCGCGCCCGCCGACGGCCCCCCUGAACGCUGUCUGAAGUUGCAGUCUGAGACCUAUAACGAAAUUAGUUAAAACUUUCAACAACGGAUCUCUUGGUUCCGGCAUCGAUGAAGAACGCAGCGAAAUGCGAUAACUAAUGUGAAUUGCAGAAUUCAGUGAAUCAUCGAGUCUUUGAACGCACAUUGCGCCCUCUGGUAUUCCGGAGGGCAUGCCUGUCCGAGCGUCAUUGCUGCCCUCAAGCCCGGCUUGUGUGUUGGGCCCCGUCCCCCCCGCCGGGGGGACGGGCCCGAAAGGCAGCGGCGGCACCGCGUCCGGUCCUCGAGCGUAUGGGGCUUCGUCACCCGCUCUAGUAGGCCCGGCCGGCGCCAGCCGACCCCCAACCUUUAAUUAUCUCAGGUUGACCUCGGAUCAGGUAGGGAUACCCGCUGAACUUAAGCAUAUCAAUAAGCGGAGGAA
rnacentral:rRNA from 1 species